UGGGGAAUAUUGCACAAUGGGCGCAAGCCUGAUGCAGCCAUGCCGCGUGUAUGAAGAAGGCCUUCGGGUUGUAAAGUACUUUCAGCGGGGAGGAAGGCGAUAAGGUUAAUAACCUUGUCGAUUGACGUUACCCGCAGAAGAAGCACCGGCUAACUCCGUGCCAGCAGCCGCGGGAAUACGGAGGGUGCAAGCGUUAAUCGGAAUUACUGGGCGUAAAGCGCACGCAGGCGGUCUGUCAAGUCGGAUGUGAAAUCCCCGGGCUCAACCUGGGAACUGCAUUCGAAACUGGCAGGCUAGAGUCUUGUAGAGGGGGGUAGAAUUCCAGGUGUAGCGGUGAAAUGCGUAGAGAUCUGGAGGAAUACCGGUGGCGAAGGCGGCCCCCUGGACAAAGACUGACGCUCAGGUGCGAAAGCGUGGGGAGCAAACA
rnacentral:rRNA from 1 species